rnacentral:rRNA from 1 species
UACGGAGGGUGCGAGCGUUAUCCGGAUUCACUGGGCUUAAAGGGUGCGUAGGUGGGAAUGUAAGUCAGUGGUGAAAUCUCUGAGCUUAACUCAGAAACUGCCAUUGAUACUAUGUUUCUUGAAUUUUCUGGAGGUCAGCGGAAUAUGUCAUGUAGCGGUGAAAUGCUUAGAUAUGACAUAGAACACCAAUUGCGAAGGCAGCUGGCUACAGGGAUAUUGACGCUGAGGCACGAAAGCGUGGGGAUCAAACAGG